rnacentral:rRNA from 1 species
AUAAUGACUCUCGGCAACGGAUAUCUAGGCUCUUGCAUCGAUGAAGAACGUAGCGAAAUGCGAUACUUGGUGUGAAUUGCAGAAUCCCGUGAACCAUCGAGUCUUUGAACGCAAGUUGCGCCUGAAGCCAUUAGGCUGAGGGCACGUCUGCCUGGGCGUCACAU